CUCCCUCUUCCUUUUCCCUAUCUCUCCCCCUCUCCUCCUCCUCACGUUACCCCUAUUAAACCCUUCCCCUUUGCACGUUGUUGCAGUCCGACCGACAUAUCCACAACCUGCAACGAUCAACGAUUGUACAACAACCACCAGCCAGCGACGACGACUGUGCUUCUUUGGCGAACGUGAGCAGUAUAACAGUAGCAUUUUGCUCCAACGAACGUGAGCAAUACGACGACGAUGCUUCACUGGCGAUGACAACAUUAGCAUUUUCUCCUAUUCAUCUCCUUAUCUUUAUCUUUCUCCAGCCUCCUCAAUUAUGGAAGGAUUACUGGAAAUUAUGCUCAGAUCGACGCUGCGUAUGCAGCAUUGGCAGAUGCUGGAUAUCAGAAAACUGAAGUCAUAGUUAUAGAGACCGGUUGGGCUUCCCAUGUGGACGAAAAGGAAGCUGCAACAACUGUGAAUAAUGCUAGGAUAUUUAAUUACAACCUUAGGAAGAGGCUUGCUAAGAAGAAAAGAACUCCCUUCAGGGCAAAGAAUGUAUUGAAGGCAUAUAUUCUCGCAACAUUCAACGAAAAUCUGAAGCCAGGGUUGACUUCUGAGAGAAAUUUUGGACUUUUUAAAGCUUAUAGGACUAUAUCAUAUGACAUUGGAUUUCAUGGACUCAGAGCUUCUUCUUCAGAUUGUAUUUAUCUCUUAAGGUAUGUAAUUCACAACAGCAUAUGAAAAAUGUUAUAUC